ensembl:Mt_tRNA
AGCCCCGAGGUGUUUGUCACGUCAGAUUGCAAACCUGAAGGAGUAGGCUAGCCGCCUACCGGGGCUU